GCUACACAUGCAGUCGACGAUGAACCACCUUCGGGUGGGGAUUAGUGGCGAACGGGUGAGUAACACGUGGGCAAUCUGCCCUGCACUCUGGGACAAGCCCUGGAAACGGGGUCUAAUACCGGAUACUGACCUGCCAAGGCAUCUUGGCGGGUCGAAAGCUCCGGCGGUGCAGGAUGAGCCCGCGGCCUAUCAGCUUGUUGGUGAGGUAAUGGCUCACCAAGGCGACGACGGGUAGCCGGCCUGAGAGGGCGACCGGCCACACUGGGACUGAGACACGGCCCAGACUCCUACGGGAGGCAGCAGUGGGGAAUAUUGCACAAUGGGCGAAAGCCUGAUGCAGCGACGCCGCGUGAGGGAUGACGGCCUUCGGGUUGUAAACCUCUUUCAGCAGGGAAGAAGCGAAAGUGACGGUACCUGCAGAAGAAGCGCCGGCUAACUACGUGCCAGCAGCCGCGGUAAUACGUAGGGCGCAAGCGUUGUCCGGAAUUAUUGGGCGUAAAGAGCUCGUAGGCGGCUUGUCGCGUCGGUUGUGAAAGCCCGGGGCUUAACCCCGGGUCUGCAGUCGAUACGGGCAGGCUAGAGUUCGGUAGGGGAGAUCGGAAUUCCUGGUGUAGCGGUGAAAUGCGCAGAUAUCAGGAGGAACACCGGUGGCGAAGGCGGAUCUCUGGGCCGAUACUGACGCUGAGGAGCGAAAGCGUGGGGAGCGAACAGGAUUAGAUACCCUGGUAGUCCACGCCC
rnacentral:rRNA from 1 species